rnacentral:lncRNA from 10 species
GUCAUAUACUGUACUACUUUCACAAAGAUCACACAGUUUUGCAAAAGACUUGUCAUAUGUACAAUGCUAUAUAUCAAAUGAGAAAAGCUGUAAGCAAUUAUAUACGCAAAAGAAAUGCAGUAUUUACAGUUUGUCAGGAGACAUUAGAAAUCAUCUAUACAUUAAAUUACAUUUUGCUUGCAAAUAACUGGUAAAACAAAAUGAGCCAUGUCCACACCAAAAUAUAAAAAUCUGUAUUGCAUUUUUAUACCUAAGAUGCAUUCACAGAACUGCUGCUGACAGGAAAGAAAAAAAAAAUCCUCAUAGUGCCAUUACUUAGCUGAGUACUUAAUGUGUAUGUAUAAAAUAAUAGAACAUUCACUAAAUGAAUUUAACUAAAAAAAAAAAAAAGAUCAUACAGCAUCAAAUCAGCA